rnacentral:rRNA from 1 species
GAUGGACGCUGGCGGCGUGCCUAAUACAUGCAAGUCGAGCGAACGGACGAGAAGCUUGCUUCUCUGAUGUUAGCGGCGGACGGGUGAGUAACACGUGGAUAACCUACCUAUAAGACAGGGAUAACUUCGGGAAACCGGAGCUAAUACCGGAUAAUAUUUUGAACCGCAUGGUUCAAAAGUGAAAGACGGUCUUGCUGUCACUUAUAGAUGGAUCCGCGCUGCAUUAGCUAGUUGGUAAGGUAACGGCUUACCAAGGCAACGAUGCAUAGCCGACCUGAGAGGGUGAUCGGCCACACUGGAACUGAGACACGGUCCAGACUCCUACGGGAGGCAGCAGUAGGGAAUCUUCCGCAAUGGGCGAAAGCCUGACGGAGCAACGCCGCGUGAGUGAUGAAGGUCUUCGGAUCGUAAAACUCUGUUAUUAGGGAAGAACAUAUGUGUAAGUAACUGUGCACAUCUUGACGGUACCUAAUCAGAAAGCCACGGCUAACUACGUG